UGGGGAAUUUUGGACAAUGGGCGAAAGCCUGAUCCAGCAAUGCCGCGUGUGUGAAGAAGGCCUUCGGGUUGUAAGCACUUUUGUCCGGAAAGAAAUCCUUGGCUCUAAUACAGUCGGGGGAUGACGGUACCGGAAGAAUAAGCACCGGCUAACUACGUGCCAGCAGCCGCGGUAAUACGUAGGGUGCAAGCGUUAAUCGGAAUUACUGGGCGUAAAGCGUGCGCAGGCGGUUUGCUAAGACCGAUGUGAAAUCCCCGGGCUCAACCUGGGAACUGCAUUGGUGACUGGCAGGCUAGAGUAUGGCAGAGGGGGGUUAGAAUUCCACGUGUAGCAGUGAAAUGCGUAGAGAUGUGGAGGAAUACCGAUGGCGAAGGCAGCCCCCUGGGGCCAAAUACUGACGCUCAUGCACGAAAGCGUGGGGAGCAAACAGGAUUAGAUACCCUGGUAGUCCACGCCCUAAACGAUGUCAACUAGUUGUUGGGGACUUCAUUUCCUUAGUAACGUAGCUAACGCGUGAAGUUGACCGCCUGGGGAGUAC
rnacentral:rRNA from 1 species